UCAUUCAUUCAUUCAUUCAUUCAUUCAUUCAUUUAUGUUCAUACAAUCAUCUAUUCACCACCAUGCUCUACUUUCUCCUAGGUCACGGUUCCGGCUCUCCACCUACUCCCGACACAAUCUAAGUUCACAUCGCUCUCCUACCCAAGGUGCAUCUCUCAAGCAUAUCCUACCGCCGUGCUGUCUCUCUGCUCUCAGCGCAUCCGCGCCAUGUCUUCUCGCAUAGCCUAAGAUGGCGUCUACUUGUAAACUGUUGUUAAGCCGAUUUUGAAGCCACCACCACCCCUCCGUCCACCGUCACCAGAGGUUCCCGUCUGUUAGGGGGCAGGCUACGCCCGCCUCCAUCUCCGCUGGAGGAUAUGCCGUCCUAUCCCGGAGUUCAACGCGAAGACGGGAACCUUCGCCAAACUGAUUCAUGCAUUUUAUCAAGUGUUAUUGUUCGCCAAACUUUUAUGCAUUCCUGUAUC